UACGGGGGGGGCAAGCGUUGUUCGGAAUUACUGGGCGUAAAGGGUUCGUAGGUGGCCCGCUAAGUCAGACGUGAAAUCCCUGAGCUCAACCUGGGAACUGCAUACGUGACUGGCAGACUAGAGUAUGGCAGAGGGAGGUGGAAUUCCACGUGUAGCAGUGAAAUGCGUAGAUAUGUGGAGGAACACCGAUGGCGAAGGCAGCCUCCUGGGCCAAUACUGACGCUGAGGCACGAAAGCGUGGGGAGCAAACAGG
rnacentral:rRNA from 1 species